AACGAACGCUGGCGGCAUGCCUAACACAUGCAAGUCGAACGAGACCUUCGGGUCUAGUGGCGCACGGGUGCGUAACGCGUGGGAACCUGCCCUUAGGUUCGGAAUAACUCCCCGAAAGGGGUGCUAAUACCGGAUAAUGUCUUCGGACCAAAGAUUUAUCGCCUUUGGAUGGGCCCGCGUUGGAUUAGCUAGUUGGUAGGGUAAAAGCCUACCAAGGCGACGAUCCAUAGCUGGUCUGAGAGGAUGAUCAGCCACACUGGGACUGAGACACGGCCCAGACUCCUACGGGAGGCAGCAGUGGGGAAUAUUGGACAAUGGGCGAAAGCCUGAUCCAGCAAUGCCGCGUGAGUGAUGAAGGCCUUAGGGUUGUAAAGCUCUUUUACCCGGGAUGAUAAUGACAGUACCGGGAGAAUAAGCUCCGGCUAAAUCCGU
rnacentral:rRNA from 1 species